AAGGGGUGACGUCCUUUACUGUUGUCCUAUUGACAUAGUGGACCUUGUUCUGAAAGUGAAGCCAUUCAGCUCAUCAAAGACUCAAGAGAGCUUUGUUUCAAAGGAAAGUUAAGACUCCACAAAUUUGUGUCAAAUAGUGAGAGAGUUAUGUCCACUAUUCCAGAAGAAGAGUGUGCCACAGUGAAAGACCUUGACAUGUCUCUAAGUUUACCACGCAUUGAAAGAGCUCUCGGAGUGGAGUGGUUUGUCACUUCAGACACAUUCAAAUUCAGAGUUCAAGUUAAGUUGAACCCCCUUACAAGAAGAGGUGUGCUUUCUACGGUCGCCUCUAUUUACGAUCCCCUUGGGUUUAUAGCACCAUUCGUCCUCCUGGGAAAGCAGAUUCUCCAGCAAAUGUGCAAGGAAAAGGUUGAGUGGGACCACGAGCUUCCAGAGCACUUAAAACCCCAGUGGGGAUCUUGGAUUAAAGACCUUCCCAGUUUAGCCAACAUGCAGAUUCAAAGAUGUUUCAUUCCUACAGAUUUCGGUCAGGUUAAAAGCUACGAGCUUCAUCACUUCGCAGACGCCAGUGUCAAUGGAUAUGGUGCUUGUACUUACCUGCGAAUCAUUAACCAUUCAUAUCAAGUCUAUUGUUGCUUGGUAAUGGCCAAGUCAAGAGUCACGCCUACUAGUGUCACAACUAUCCCUCGACUCGAACUCUCAGCAGCAGUUGUUGCAGUUAGAGUUAGAGAUCUACUCAGGGCAGAGCUUGAAAUCCCAGACAUUGCAGAGUUUUUCUGGACGGACUCCACCGUUGUUCUCGGCUACAUAAAUAAUGAUGCCAAAAGGUUUCAAGUGUUUGUAGCGAAUCGGAUACAAAGGAUCAAGUCAAGCACAAGGCCAGAACAAUGGGCGUAUGUCGCAUCAGAGCAGAACCCAGCAGACUACGUUUCUCGAGGCUUAACUGCAGAGCAACUGAAGUCUUCAGAAUGGUUUCAGGGGCCAGCAUUUCUCUGGGAGAAGAACAUUGCUGAUAGAGAUAUCAAGGUGGGAGAGAUCAGGGAAAAUGAUCCAGAACUUCGCAAAGCUUCUGUGCAUACCAUCAAUGCAAAGGAAGAGCAAACUAUUCUCAGCAGAUUUGAGAAGUUCUCAGAAUGGUCCAGUUUGAUAAGAGCACUUGCAAUCUUGAGAAGAAAGGCCAGAGAAUACAAGGGUGACAUACAAAGGACCAGAGAAAGUACAACUUUGGAAGAGAGAAAACAAACAGAACUGUUUGUCAUUAAACUUGUUCAAGAGAAAGCUUUCGCAGAAGAGAUAAAGAGUCUAAAAUCAAAGAAAACAGUUUCCAAGACCACAGAUCAUAAACUGUACAAACUAAGUCCGUUUCUGGACGAAAAAGGAAUCCUCAGAGUUGGUGGACGUUUGAGUCAAGCUGUGCUUCACCCACAUGUAAAACAUCCUGCCAUACUUCCCAAGGACAGUCACAUUUCAACUUUGUUAAUCAGACAUUUUCACUCGAAGGUUCAACAUCAAGGUCGUGGAAUGACGAUGAAUGAGUUGCGUGCAAACGGUUGGUGGAUUCUUGGGAGCAGCCGUGCAGUCUCAUCAUACAUCUUCAAAUGUGUUAAAUGUCGCAAAUACAGAAGGAAAACGGAGAAUCAAAGUAUGGGAGAUUUGCCAGUAGACCGAACAGAGCCUAAUCCGCCUUUCACUUAUGUCGGAAUGGAUUGCUUUGGGCCAAUAUACAUAAAGGAGGGAUGAAAGGAGCUCAAGAGAUAUGGGCUUGUACUAACCUGUUUAUGUUCACGAGCCAUACAUAUUGAAGUAGUAGACGACCUGAGUACAGACGCAUUCAUAAAUGCUCUGCGAGCAUUUAUUGCAAUAAGAGGAAAUGUACGUCAGCUGAGAUGUGACAGAGGAACCAAUUUCAUUGGUGCCCAGAGAGAACUCGCAGAUCUCAUGAAAGAAAUGAAUCAGGAGAAAGUGAAGGCACUUGGAUGUGAAUUUCUCAUGAAUCCCCCUUCAGCAAGCCAUAUGGGUGGAAUAUGGGAAAGACAGAUCAGGACCAUCCGUAGUGUUCUUUCAGCCAUCCUUGACCAAUUAGCAAAGAGACUCGACAGUACAUCCUUGAGAACCUUGUUGUACGAGGUCAUGGCAAUUGUCAACAGUAGGCCACUUUCCGUCGAGCAUUUAAGUGAUCCAACAGGGCCUGAGCCAUUAACGCCCAACCACAUUCUCACUAUGAAGUCAACCAUUGUUCAACCUCCUCCAGGAGAGUUUACGAAAGAAGAUUUGUAUCUUCAAAAAAGAUGGAGAAGAGUGCAAUAUUUAGCCAAUGAGUUUUGGAUCCGUUGGAGGAAAGAAUAUUUGCUCAACUUGCAACCAAGACAGAAGUGGAAUGCACACAGAAGGAAUCUGAAGGUAAAUGAUGUAGUGCUUCUAAAAGAGGACAUGGCACCACGUAAUGAAUGGAAGCUAGCCAAGUCACUGAUGUCUAUCCAGGAACCGACAACAAAGUGAGAAAGGUUCGACUUUUGGUUAGUGAAAGGACAUAUGACAAACACAGUAAACUUGUGACUAAAACAGUCUCAUUAGAACGACCUAUUCAUAAAGUUAUUGUUUUGCUAGAAGCUGACUAAGGGCUUGUGUGUAUUUUCAUGUUCAGUUUGUCAGCCUGAAUGUAAUUCAUAGGAAUCCCACAGCAACAGUUGUGAGAUUGGUGGGAGUGUUACUGCUAUAUUUCGUUUCUUUUCAUUUUCUGUGUAUUUUCAUUAUUAUUACCGUUGAGUGCCACCAGGGGGCGCUAUAGUGUAAGUGAGCUUUGUAUGCAGAGUACAGGUUAAUUUCCUCAGAAGAAGCGAUCUCUCGAGAGAAAGAAAGAUGCGUGACUGAAGCGUGGUCACAAAGCUAAGUUGUUAAGAAAAAUAAGAAACAAUAAGAAGAAGAAGACGACUGAAACUAAUUCCUCUCUCGGUACUCAGCCAACGAGUUUUCACGGUGUGUUUAUGAGUCUGAACAAGCUGGAUUCAAUAAAUUCAUCAGUUGAGAAAGCCACUUGUGUCUGUUGGUACCUGGAGGAGUUACAGAGCAGCUCCAAAGACCUAGAUAGAACAUGAUCUUCAUGCAGAUGGUGACACUGUGCAUCGUUCAACUAUUCAGUGCACUUUGUACACGGAGAUGCUGUAUGGAAGAAUAAUGUAGCAGAAGCGUUUUCUACACACAUGCCACAAUCAGAGUCACUUGAGGUAUGCUAAAGCACAUUUGGACAAGCCAGCUUCAUUUUGGAAUAAGGUGCUGUGGACUGAUGAAACUUGAGAUUCAGGAGGGGGAAGUGGUGCACCGUCAACACUGUUUACAGUGAAGAUGGGGUGCUGCUGACCUUGACUCGGGACAUCGUGAGUCGGUGGGGAGAAAACUUUGAAGGCAUCCUCAAUUCCACCUACACGCCUUCCAUUGUGGAAGCAGGGCCCGGACACUCUGAGGCGGACUCUCCAAUCUCUGGGGUCGAAGUCACUGAGGUAGUUAAAAAACUCCUCGAGGGCAAGGCCACAGGGGUGGAUGAGAUCCGCCCGGAGUUCUUAAAGGCUCUGGAUGUUGUGGGGCUGUCAUGGCUGACACGCCUCUACAACAUUGCGUGGUCAUACCAAAGACUAUAAAAAUGGGACCCAUUGCCUCCCUGCUUGGCACUCAGCAUUAAGGGUUGGAAUUGGGGGGUUGGAUCACCAAAUGAUUCCCGAACGUGGCACCGCUACUGCUCCCCUUUCCUCCAGGGGAUGGAUCAAAAUCACACGGGGAUGGAUUAAAUGCAGAGGACAAAUUUCACCACACCUAGAUGUGUGUGUGACGAUCAUUGGGACUUUAACUUUAACUUUAAGAUCCUUGUCACCACUUAUAAGGCCCUAAACAACCUUGCCUGUACCUGUCUGAACUCCUGCACUGCUAUAGCCCCACCUGCCGACUCCGCUCUGCUGACGCCAACUUGCUCACCUCCACUACCUCGACCAAAUACCGGACCAUUAGGGAUAGAGCCUUUGCCAUUGCUGCCCCCACUCUCUGGAACUCUCUCCCCCUGACAAUCCGUAAUGCUGCACUCCUUCAAACACCAUCUCAAGACCCACCUCUUCAACUCUGCAUAUAACCCCUAACUCUUCAUGUGUGCGUGUGUGUGCGCGAUUAAGCGUGAGUUUUCUAUGUAAAGCGUCUUUGAGUGUUUAGAAAGGCGCUAUAUAAAACCAAUCUAUAUUAUUAUUAUAUUAUUACACUUAUUUUAGGUUAUUCUAUACACCUAGAAUAGAGGUCUAUUCUAGGUGUAUUGAAUAACCUAAAAUACUUCACUGGUUCUUCUCUAUCAAACAAUUUGUUUUAGGUUUAUUUACCUGAUGCAGGCGGAAGAACCCGCCGAAACAUGUCAGGUAAAUAAACCUAAAACAAAUUGUUUGAUAUAGAAGAACCAGUGAAGUAAUUGAAAAGGAAAAACAAGAUGAACCUAGUACAACUAUAACCUAAAAUAGUCGUCUAUUUUAGGUCUACACAUAGACCUAAAAUAGACGACAAAAAUAAAUCAUCAAAUAUGAAAUAUUAAACCCAAAACCAUUUUGUAAGUUGUAUGUAUACAUGAUGUACAGAAGUCGUGUUGCUUUGUUUUAAACAACCAUUGAUCCGUGUGAAGUGUGAUUAUUUCUGUGACCUGAUUUUAGGUCUAUGGAAUAACCUAAAAUAGGUGACAAAAUUAAAUCCAUCAAUUAUGAUCAUAUUAAACCCAAAACACCCAUGUUUUAAACAACCAUUUAUCCGUGUGAAGUGUGGUUAUUUCUGUAACCUGAUAUUAGGGCUAUGGAGUAACCUAAAAUAGACAACAAAAUUAAAUCCAUCCAUCCAUUUUCUAUGCUGCUUGUCCCCACGGGGGUCGCGGGCGUGCUGGAGCCUAUUCCAGCAGUCAUCGGGCAGCAGGCAGGGGACACCCUGAACAGGUUGCCAGCCAAUCGCAGGGCACUCAUAGACGAACAAAAAUUAAAUCCAUCAAAUACGAAAUAUUAAACCCUAAAUCAGCUGUAAAUGGUAUAAAUAAUCUACAGAAGUUGUAUUGCUUUGUUUUAAACAACCAUUGAUCCAUGUGAAGUGUGAUUAUUUCUGUAACCUGAGGCCAAAUUUAAAUCCAUCCAUCCAUUUUCGUUUCAUUUCUUUUAUUUCAAACAUGUGGGGGGAAAAUAAGAUUACAUACACACACACCUCUCUCUGUCUCUCCGUCUCUGUCUCUCCGUCUCUGUCUCUCCGUCUCUGUCUCUCCGUCUCUGUCUCUCCGUCUCGCUCUCCGUCUCGCUCUCCGUCUCUCUCUCGCUCUCUCUCUCGCUCUCUCUCUCGCUCUCUCUCUCGCUCUCUCUCUCGCUCUCUCUCUCUCUCUCGUUUUUUCCGUGUAUAAUGCGCAAUAUUUCUCUACUUUAUUGUCCUAAAAUCUGGGGUGCGCAUUAUACAUGGGUACAAAUUCUUUUUUAUUUAUUUUUUUUAGAUUUUUUUUUUUUUUUUUUAAGAAAAUCAUGGUACAACAAAACCAACAACAGGACUGACCGACAAAGACGUGGAACAAAAAGACAGGUGACAGAAAGAAAGGGUGACAUUACCAAAGACAGGAACAGAAACCAAACAGACGUCAUGACAGUGACACAUGCAAUGCUCCGACGGUGAGCGAGGGGCAGACAGGACUUAAAUACAAAACACGUUACAUUGAUUGAGGUGACACAGGAAGGGAGGGGCGACGCGAACAGAAACUAUGGCAACCUAGACACAUUGCAAAACUGGGGACGAGACAUGACGAAUCUCCCUCGAAAUAAAACUUGAAAUCACUUUUCUUCUUGUUUGUUGUCAAUCGCGCAUCGCAUUCAGCCAUCCUGCCCAACACACUUAGUCAGUUUGAUCCGAUGGUGCAAUCCUUGAUGGUGUGUUAUUGUCAAAUAUUGUUUGGUUUUUUAUAUCCAUCGCAAACCGGAUAUCAUACGGAGGCCGCCAUUACAGAUGCGCAGAACGGAUGCGCAAGACACGUUAGCUAUAUAAAGAGUGAGAAAUCAGUUUUCUUCCCAUUAGUUUCAAUUCACAGUUUAAUUAGCAGUUUCAAUCAGCAAAUAACAAAACGCGUAUUACAGGUAAUAUUUUAUUUCACAACACUUUGCCUUGUUCCUUUCUUCUCUGCUGUUCACUUCAAACACGCUCCAUACGAACUAGAGAUGCACCGAUCCGACUUUUUCAGUUCCGAUACCGAUACCGAUGCCGUGGCUUUGCGUAUCGGUCGAUACCCGAUACCGAUCCGAUAUUAUGGUUGACUUAACAAGCUACAUAACUCUACAUGUGGAACAGAAAAGACCAAAGGCAAUGGCAUCAGGCAGACCACACAGUUCUUUGCUCUAAAUUAGGAGUGUCCAAACUAACGGUCCAGUUUUUAUUGGCCCGCAGCAAAUUCUGAAAACAUAAUUGAAUAUGGCCCGCACAAGAAGCUUGAGCUCAGCUUCUCAGUUUCCACACUAGAUGGAGCCCGCCACACAAAGCGUUUGACGUCCCAUUAACACCCCCCCGGAAGAGAAGCGAACACGCAGCGUUUGACAUCCGAUUAGCCUCCGCCCCCCCCCAUUCGGGAGAGAAGCGAACGCGCAGCCUUUGACGUCCCAUUAGCAACCCGAAGAGAAGCGAACGCGCAGGGUUUGACGUCCGCUUAGCAACCCGGGGAAGAGAAGCGAACGUUCGCUCCAUGUUUGCGUUUGUUUAGAAAACUCUCGUGGCAUGCGGCACACGUGCUGCUGACGUAUGACGUAGCCCGCGUCCCAAUAGAUUAAGGAAAGUAUCGGCUCACAGAUCGGCUGUAUUUUCCGAUACCCGAUCCAUCUAUUUUGUUGAUAUCGGGGCCGAUAUCCGAUCCAGAUAUCGGAUCGGUGCAUCUCUAAUACGAACGCAAUGCUCUUGUGUCAGACGCUUGCUCGAUCACCUGCUCGUUUGCUGUCACAAUGUACCCUACACAAAUCCAAAACAUUUGUUGCGGCUCGGAGUCACGACGAGGGGCAAGUUUUGGUUUCCAAGGGUGUUUUUAUUCCUCUUCAAUGUCUCUCCCAUACAGAGCCGCCUUUUUCACAUGUCCGCAUGCCAAAAUUCAAGUGGACCUAAGUGCGCAGGGAGCUUAAUUUUGUCCGAUCGCGCAACUGCAGCGCAUCGCCGAGCGCGCAAACGUAGCGUGUCGCCGACCGCGCAACUGCACCGCGCUGAUCGCAUUAUUGUGACAGAGCCAUCGCUGAAAUUUGAAAAAUAUUUUUAAAGUCCUGAUGUACUUUCCAAAUUUUAAGUGGACCUCAGUGCGCAGGGACCUUAAUUUAGUCCGGUCGCACAACCGCAGCGCGCCGGGCGCUCAUUGUCGCAUUGCUUUAAGAGUGUCUUUGUGUUCCGAGUUGUAAGAUGACGCUGCUCUCGAGCCAUGCCCAUCUGAAGCGAUUCCUGAUCCCUUUCGACUUGUCUAUUUCCCUGGCACGAUCCUCGUCUUUUUUCUCUAAAACUUUAGCCAUGCUGGCUAAAAUUUUGCUAAUUAGGCAAAUGAGUAGGCAAAUGAUGUGACGAAAGUAGCGCCAAAAUGCUGCCAAAAAUAAGGUGGCUGUUGUCGCAAUACUGCUGCCAGCCGCACCCCCAUAUAAAAACAAUUUUCUCAACGGAUCUACACGAUUUACGAAAAUGAUACUCCCGACGAAAAAAAACACGUAAAUCUGUGGAUCCGUGGAAGAUACUCAUCCCUGUGAAAUAUUUAACCUUAAACCAGCUAUAAGUUGUAUAAAUAAUGUACAUUGUGUGGAGUCCAAACAAAGUUGGAAUGCUUUGUUUUAAACAACCAAUGAUCCCUGUGAAGUGUGGUUAUUUCUGUAACCUGAAUAUAAUAUAGAAGUCUAUACGAGGUUAUUCCAUAGAUGCCAAAAUAAAUCCAUCAAAUAUGAAAUAUUGAACCCGAAACCAGCUGAAAUUGGAUGAGAUUGCAAUGUUGUAUUGCUUUGUUUGAAACGCUAGGGGCAGACACGUGCAUAGAUUGUGCGCCACCGUAAAAAAACAAGAAGAAGAAGUGUGCAGCGCAAGUGAAGUGGCCUAUAGGUUUGAGCCUGUUGCUGGCAGGUAUGAGAAGAGUCUUCUAGGUUUUUCAGUAAGAGAUGUCAGCAGCUCGCUUUCAAAAAUCGCCAUGGCUAACAAGAUCAAAGAAUUUGGCUCAAGGAGUGGCACGUGAAAAGACUCCAAGCCUGGAGAAAAGAGCAGCAUCUGUAUUAAAAACUGACCGGACUCCACAAGCUAGGAAGUGAGUGUGAAACUGCCAUAAGAGGGAAAAAGUUUCUGAAGGUCACCGAGUAGCCCUUCUGGCAAUCCCUGGGCUGAGGAGCCUCAACUCUCGUUCAGAAUGUGACAACGGAGAGUAGACGGUGCCCAUGACUCAUCUGGAGACCUUUGACAUGAUGUCCAAGGAAAUAAAUGACAAACAGGAUGCAAGACUGAAUGACAGAAUGAUUAAGCUUGGAAUUGGUUAGUCAAAAUUUUGGAUGUCCCCCACUCACUCUUGAUAGCUUACAAAUGAAACCUGUAGGGUUAUGUUUGGUUUAAUUGGUGUACUGUCAAUGUUACUGACUCUUCAGUUAUUUUUUUCUCAAGAAAAAAAGUCCUCAAUUCAA